GGCCCCUCCUCCCUAGACCAUUUAUAAAAACCCUGACAUUUUUACUACUGCUUAGCAACCUGCUCGGGACCCCUCUCUGUGACUGUGAGCUGUUCUGUUCUUUUGCCUAUUAAACUCCUGCUCCAAACUCACUCGAUGUGUGUGUGCAUGUCCUUGACCUCAAUAUCUGGUCGUGUGACCAAGAACCUCAGUAUUCACCCCAGACAACAAGGCUGCUUCAUUUUGAGGGCUCGUCUGGGAUUUGAAGGUGACUUCAUCAGAAUGGGAUCUGCAGUCCAGCUGAAAACCUGCCCUUGCCUGAGCCCAGCCACUUUCUCCCAGAGAAAACUGGAGAACCUAAACAUGAUUGUGAACAGGAAUCUCUGGCUGCAGCUCAGAGAAAACAGAAAGGCAUCGGUAAUAGAAAAAUCUGGAAACAUGUUCUAGUUCUGGGCAAUUAUCCUACAAAUCCUGCCAGGUAAACUAGAACCCCAGGGUUUCUCCCUUUUUUGGGAAAGUAAGACCAAGGAAGCUAAACAAAGCCAAGCCCCAUAUACCCACUUACAGCAGCACAACCCAUCUGAAUGGCUCACAGGUAUCAAACAAACUCUGUUGUCAUGGUUACGGCCUAUAGUGCCCCCAUUAAUAAUAGUAAUCUUAAUACUCAUAUUUAGAACCUAUAUUCUAAACCUCCUUGUGAAGUUUAUCUCUUCUCGCUUAGAAACCAUCAAGCUUCAGAUGGUGCUGAAAAUGGAGCCGAAAAUGAAACUGCCCUCCUACGAGGGACCCUUAAAUCAACCCCAGGAGGAGCCCUAGCUGCUGUUCCCCACACAACGCCACUCUCCAGCAGGAAGUAGCCAGAAGAAAUCGUCACCCAGUUUCCCCUAGCAGCAGCGCAGUAAGAUUGAGGAGCUAAAAACAGACUUGGGUGGAUGUCUGCAGCUGCAAGAAGAUGUGUGGGAACAGACACAGAAACUCUCCCUCCCAGAUAAGCAAGACAAAGAAACACAGAAUAAGAGUCCAUCUAUGUGGUCAGAGAAUGGGAUAAGAGCUGAUUUAAAAAAACUCUGCUCUAUAUAGAAGGCACACCUGGUCCCAACCAAACCACUGGACCCUAGGAGGAUAAGACCUCCUCUGCUCAUGAGCCCCCUCCUCAGUAGCCCAUUUAUAAAAACCCUGACAAUUUUACUACCACUUGGCAACCCGCUCGGGACCCCUCUCUGUGAUGGAGAGCUGUUCUUUUCUUUUGCCUAUUAAACUCCUGCUCCAAACUCACUGUGUGUGUGUCUGUCUGCAACCUCAAUCUCCUUGGCCAUGACACCAAAAACCUUAGUAUUUACCCCAGACAACAAGGCUGCUUCACCAGCCUUCUCACAUUAAAUUCCACACAUUGCAUGUCGGUGCUGUCACAGCUGUGUCUAUCACCACAGCAACAAGCAGACGGACUC
rnacentral:lncRNA from 10 species